AUCCGGCUUGGAAGCUUUGCUCCCUCUCUGCUCAGGGCUCUCGGGAACCUGGGGAGAUGCUGCCACGGAAGCUGAAGAG